rnacentral:rRNA from 1 species
CGUAUCACCCAAGACAACUUUACGGAGUUGACGAUUGACGGAGCGAAGCGACGUCAAAGCGUUCAUUAAAGUCGAGUUGGCUUAGGGAUACGUUCGUUGGGUAGGGGAGCGUUCUGUAAGCCUGUGAAGGUGUGUCGUGAGGCAUGCUGGAGGUAUCAGAAGUGCGAAUGCUGACAUAAGUAACGAUAAAGCGGGUGAAAAGCCCGCUCGCCGGAAGACCAAGGGUUCCUGUCCAACGUUAAUCGGGGCAGGGUGAGUCGACCCCUAAGGCGAGGCCGAAAGGCGUAGUCGAUGGGAAACGGGUUAAUAUUCCCGUACUUGGUGUUACUGCGAAGGGGGGACGGAGAAGGCUAUGUUGGCCGGGCGACGGUUGUCCCGGUUUAAGCGUGUAGGUGUGUGUUCCAGGUAAAUCCGGUUCACUUUAACACUGAGGCGUGACGACGAGGCACUACGGUGCUGAAGCAACAAAUGCCCUGCUUCCAGGAAAAGCCUCUAAGCAUCAGGUAACAUCAAAUCGUACCCCAAACCGACACAGGUGGUCAGGUAGAGAAUACCAAGGCGCUUGAGAGAACUCGGGUGAAGGAACUAGGCAAAAUGGUGCCGUAACUUCGGGAGAAGGCACGCUGACACGUAGGUGAAGUGAUUUACUCAUGGAGCUGAAGUCAGUCGAAGAUACCAGCUGGCUGCAACUGUUUAUUAAAAACACAGCACUGUGCAAACACGAAAGUGGACGUAUACGGUGUGACGCCUGCCCGGUGCCGGAAGGUUAAUUGAUGGGGUCAGCGCAAGCGAAGCUCCUGAUCGAAGCCCCGGUAAACGGCGGCCGUAACUAUAACGGUCCUAAGGUAGCGAAAUUCCUUGUCGGGUAAGUUCCGACCUGCACGAAUGGCGUAAUGAUGGCCAGGCUGUCUCCACCCGAGACUCAGUGAAAUUGAACUCGCUGUGAAGAUGCAGUGUACCCGCGGCAAGACGGAAAGACCCCGUGAACCUUUACUAUAGCUUGACACUGAACAUUGAGCCUUGAUGUGUAGGAUAGGUGGGAGGCUUUGAAGCGUGGACGCCAGUCUGCGUGGAGCCGACCUUGAAAUACCACCCUUUAAUGUUUGAUGUUCUAACGUGGACCC